UUUAAUAAUAAUAAAAAACCUAAUAAAAUUAAAACAAAAUUAAUAGGUGUUUCCUUUGCAAUGUUUCCUUUUCAAAGUAUAUUAAGUAUGUAUUUUUUCUAUCAAUAGCGAUACCUCACGUAUUAAAUAUUUAUUUUAGUAGAACGUUGUAGUAUAAUGUCAUUUUGUGAUUUUCAGACAUAUCUCGAAAUGGUUCUGUUAUGUGUUUAUGCUCAGUGUUAACUUAAGUGGUCGAUAGAAUUGGUCGCUAGCUUGAUUGGUCGCUAGAAUUGGUCGCUAGCUUGAGUCUGGUGUCGGUCUCUGUUCGAAAGCAGAUUUUGUGUUGAUUUUUGAAAUGUGUCUAACAAUUUUUAUGGCUUCAAACGUCUCACAACUAUUACAACAAGGUUGACACAGCAAUAAGUUGGUAUGUUUUAACUGUAAAAUUUAUUUGUUGAGAAUUAAAU
rnacentral:lncRNA from 1 species